rnacentral:lncRNA from 1 species
GUGAUGUGAGGUCUAGAGGACUUUCAGAUUAGAUUCCCCAUCAUACGUUCAGUUCUAGGAGAAGAGAAGAGAGGUGGAGGACUGCUGGACUAAAGAGAGGGACUGGGACUAUGGCUAGAAGGAAUAAGAGAUCUUGGAGUAUGGCAAGCGGUUGGAUCAAGAGUAGGGCAAAGAGUUGGAGAUCCUGGAGAGAUAAGAUUUGGU